GAGAAGUUAAGUGAAAAUAGAUAAUGGGCCAAUGAACAAGGGAGGAAAUUGGUGCAUGAAAUUUGAGUGGGGGAUGAAUUGGUCCAUUGAAAAGUGAGGAAUAAAUAUGAAAAUGAAAGGUGAGGAAAUGUAGGGAGAAAAACCGCACCUUUGAGAAAAAAGGAAAAGAAUUGAUUUUAAAAGUAAAAAGAGAAAGGAAGAAAGGAGAAAGAAGAGAAGCUAAAGGAAGGUUUGGUUUUUAGAGGAAUUGGAGAAAAACCAAGAGGUUUUCCUCCCACACACCAUUGUUGGAGCUUAAAGAAGACAUUGGUGGUUCAGCUCAGUGAUUCCAAGCAAGGAUCUUCAAGAUUCAAAGAACCGGGUGCAUGCAUGUGGGUUGAUCUUAAAAGUAUGGUGAUUUAAAGCAAGACAAAUAAUGGGAAGUGUGCAAGUGAAGAAGGUUUAUCGUGGUGGUGUACCGGAGGAGAUAACAGGUGACAGGCAAGUAGAAUUAGCUCGAGAUGCACCUGAAUCGAUAGCGACAUAGCUUCCCGCUAUUGUGAGAAAAGUGAUCAGCUCAAGUGUCUUGCCCAGCAUACUUUGACUUGCUACGAUGUAGGUAAUGGCAUCUCUUAGAUUUCUACUCUGAGUCGCUCCACCGCAUUGGGGUUGUGUUGUGUAAAAUAGUUUGACUUUUAAAAAUUAUUAAUUUUAUCAGAUUGUAUCGCUAAAAACCUUAAGGUUGUGUAAUGAAUACUAAGGGUGAUGUUGAAAUUAUUUUGAAGUUUACUAGAGUUGGAUGUCGUUAUCUAGCUGCCACAUCUUAAUUAUGGUUUUAUUCGGUUCAAGUGGAACAUUAUAAUAAAAUUCAAG